rnacentral:lncRNA from 1 species
GUCCUUCAGUUCAUCCCGUUGUCCGCCCGUCCCGUUUGUCCCCUGUGUCCAUCUGUCCGUCCCCAUGUGCCUCCAUCCAUCUCUGUGCCCGUCUGUCUGUCCAUCCUUCGGUCCGUCCGUCUGUCCGUCCGUCCCCCACGUCUGUCCGUCCUUCAGUUCGUCCCCGUGUCCGUCUGUCCGUCCGUCUUCUCAAUCCAUCGCCGUGUCCUUCCAUCUGUCCCCACGUCUGUCUGUCCCCGUGUCCUUCCAUCCAUCCCCACGUCCGUCUGUCCUUCCACCCAUCCAUGUCCCCAUGUCUGUCCGUCCGUCUCCACAUCCAUCUGUCCGUCCACCCAUCCAUUCCCCACAUCUGUCCAUCCGUCCCCACGUCCGUCUGUCCAUCCCGGUCGCCUUCAGUCUGUCCCCGCGUCCGUCUGUCCUUCCAUCCCUCCCUCCCCGUGUCCGUCUGUCCUCAUGCCCCCCCCAUCACCUCCGUCCGUCCCCGUGUCCGUCUGUCUGUCCACCUCCAUGUCCACCCGUCCAUCCC